rnacentral:rRNA from 1 species
GAUGAACGCUGGCGGCGUGCUUAACACAUGCAAGUCGAACGGGAAACCUUUUAUUGAUGCUUCGGCAGAUUUAGCUGGUUUCUAGUGGCGGACGGGUGAGUAACGCGUGGGUAACCUGCCUUAUACAGGGGGAUAACAACCAGAAAUGGUUGCUAAUACCGCAUAAGCGCACAGGACCGCAUGGUCCGGUGUGAAAAACUCCGGUGGUAUAAGAUGGACCCGCGUUGGAUUAGCUAGUUGGCAGGGUAACGGCCUACCAAGGCGACGAUCCAUAGCCGGCCUGAGAGGGUGAACGGCCACAUUGGGACUGAGACACGGCCCAGAAUCCUACGGGAGGCAGCAGUGGGGAAUAGUGCACAAUGGGGGAAACCCUGAUGCAGCGACGCCGCGUGAAGGAAGAAGUAUCUCGGUAUGUAAACUUCUAUCAGCAGGGAAGAUAGUGACGGUACCUGAUGAAGAAGCCCCGGCUAACUACGUG